rnacentral:tRNA from 1 species
AAAAAAUUAGUUAAAAAUAUAACAUUAGUAUGUCAAACUAAAAUUAUUAUUAUUAUUAUAAUAUUUUUUA